UACGGAGGGUGCAAGCGUUAUCCGGAUUCACUGGGUUUAAAGGGUGCGUAGGCGGAAUGAUAAGUCAGUGGUGAAAGCCCCGAGCUCAACUUGGGAAUUGCCAUUGAUACUGUUGUUCUUGAGUUCGGUUGAGGUAGGCGGAAUGUUGCAUGUAGCGGUGAAAUGCUUAGAUAUGCAACAGAACACCGAUUGCGAAGGCAGCUUACCAAGCCGACACUGACGCUGAGGCACGAAAGCGUGGGGAUCAAACAGG
rnacentral:rRNA from 1 species